GGGGGUGUAGCUCAGUGGCAGAGUGCAUGCUUGGCCUGCACGAGGUCCUGGGUUCAAUCCCCAGUGCCUCUG
rnacentral:tRNA from 1 species